rnacentral:tRNA from 1 species
CCGGGGAUAGCCAAGCCUGGUCAAAAAAGCCUCUUUGGAGGCGGCAGGCUUAAGACCUGCUCCCGAAGGGGUUCGUGGGUUCGAAUCCCACCCCCCGCA